AUUGAACGCUGGCGGCACGCCUAACACAUGCAAGUCGAGCGGCAGCGAGACUAGUAGCAAUACUAGUUGUCGGCGAGCGGCGGACGGGUGAGUAACACGUAGGAAUCUGCCCUUAAGCGGGGGAUAACCAAGGGAAACUUUGGCUAAUACCGCAUAAUCUCGAGAGAGCAAAGCUGCCCGCAAGGGUGGCACUUGAGGAGGAGCCUGCGUCCGAUUAGCUAGUUGGUGGGGUAAUGGCCUAACAAGGCGAUGAUCGGUAACUGGUCUGCGAGGACGACCAGUCACACUGGGACUGAGACACGGCCCAGACGCCUACGGGAGGCAGCAGUGGGGAAUAUUGGACAAUGGGGGCAACCCUGAUCCAGCGAUGCCGCGUGAGUGAAGAAGGCCUUCGGGUCGUAAAGCUCUUUAGGUUGGGAAGAAGGGUAUUGGCUGAAUAAUCCAGUACUUUGACGGUACCGACAGAAUAAGCACCGGCAAACUCUGUGCCAGCCGCCGCGGUAACAC
rnacentral:rRNA from 1 species